GCGUGAGUGAUGAAGGCCUUAGGGUUGUAAAGCUCUUUCAAUGGUGAUGAUAAUGACAGUAGCCAUAGAAGAAGCCCCGGCUAACUUCGUGCCAGCAGCCGCGGUAAUACGAAGGGGGCUAGCGUUGUUCGGAAUUACUGGGCGUAAAGCGCACGUAGGCGGAUUGAUCAGUUGGGGGUGAAAUCCCGGGGCUCAACCUCGGAACUGCCUUCAAUACUGUCAAUCUAGAGGUCGAGAGAGGUGAGUGGAAUUCCGAGUGUAGAGGUGAAAUUCGU
rnacentral:rRNA from 1 species